AUUUUCUCUUCCUCUUCUUUACAGGAGGGGGGCAAAGAACUGCUCGAAUAGCUUCAUCGAACACUGUCUUGAGGCCUCGCUGUGCUAUGCUUAUUUCUGCAUUCUGGAAAACCCUGAUCUGCACUUCGCCCACCCGUGGAGACCACCCGUAGAGAUGUGAGAAUGCAGCCAUCUGCAGGAAGUCUCCACAGGGGCCUAUGAAUCAGCUGCCAUGGACAUGAAAGAGUGCAACAGUAGCAGCAUAGGUACUUGAAUAUUGGCCGACUCCAAAAAUAGAUGGUAUCAGCAUGAUUUUUGUAUGUAAUUUGAAGAAAAGUAUUAAAAAAAUGCAUUAAAAGGAAAUUUCCUGAUUGUGA